GCGGUCCGAGUGUCGCAACAUGUGGAGCCGCAGCUUGUCAGGGCGGCAGAAAGCCUUGUCACACUCUGUGCACUGAUAAAUCUUCUCUGAAUGGAAACUGCGUACGUGUUUCUUGACCUGGAUAAAGUCUGGAAAGCGCUUUUUGCAGGUAGGACAGGUGAAAUAGCCAUCAAUGAUAUGGAUGGCCACGUGAUCUUUGAGUAAGUCCAAGCGGUCGAAGGACUCAGGACAGAAAAUGCAGGAGUACGUUUUCUGGUCCAUGUGGAACUUCAUGUGGCUCUCGAGAGACCCGCUGUUGAUAAAGCCCUUGUUGCAAAUGUCACAAGUCAAAGGGCAGUUCCCUUCCCGGCCAUGGAAGCGCAGAUGCUGAUCCAGUUUGUCCUUUUCCCGGAACGCCUUCCCACACUGCAGGCAUUUGAAUGGGCGGAAGGAUUUCCUUAUGAACAGGUGCUGAAGAGCUGCAUUCUGAAAGAAACACAGAGUCCAUUAGCUUUCAGUAGGUACUGACUUCACAGACCAACAUUUCCAAGAUCAAAAACAACAGAUCGGUGAACCCGAACGUCAAAAGACACUUUGGUCACAGGCUGUGUUGUACAGAAGUGGAUGCUGUGAUGGAUAGAAG
rnacentral:lncRNA from 1 species